CCCAGAUUUCCGUUGGCUAACCUCAGCCUUAUCUUCCUCAUUUCUGUUUCCUCUUGAAGACACCAAGGGCUCUUCAAAACACAUGAUGUUCCUGCUCACAGCAUAAAGCCCAGUUCUCUUUGGCCACUGCAGGUUGGUUCAUCACCAGGGAACCUGUGCCUCAUCUGAGACUAAAGCACCACUCCAGUAACAGGUCCAAGGACUGAGCCAAGUGGACUAAUUUUUAGGAGACUCUGGAAAGCUCAUUGAACUUUCCUAACAACUCUGCCAGGUAAGUCUUCUUAUCCCCAUUUCCUGAGAAUAAAUCUGAGGCCCAAGAAAGACUUUAUCAAUACCAUAACUGGCUAGUUGGUGCCCAAAGCACCAACUAGCCAGUUAUGGUAUUGAUAGAAUCCAAGAUUGCCUGACUCUUUUCACUCUGCCAUAUCUGUUGACAAUGAUUUUGCUUUGGAUACAUUUCUGGAUGGCUUGGGAUGGAUUGGGUUGGUAGAGAGAAAAAUGAAGGAAUGAGAAAUACAUUUAAAAUUUUGAGGUUUGAAAUCACUUCCAAGAUCUUAAAUUAUAGGGGCAUGUCAUCCCCUUACCAACAUGCAUUCAAUUAAGAGUUAUAAUAAUAAAAACACUGAUUCCUCCCCCCCACCCCGCUGAAAGACAAGUUUUCUGCCUUGGCCUCAUGGGGCAGUUUUCUAUUGUGCCAUUUUUCAUGACAAUAUUCAAUAUAGGCCAAUAGAUAAACUGCCAUUGCUGGGAAAGAGAUAAAUUUGACACAAACAUCUUGGAAUAUUUAACAACAGGAUUAAGUGUUGCCAAGGGAAUUCUCUCAGAAAUUCCAGGCUUGACAAUGCUCCUGGCAGCUUCCUUGUUUCCCCGAUGGCUGUGGAUUGAAAGAUUCCAAUGCCUUACUGCCAAGACCACUGCCUGUCACUUGGCUUCCUUGAUGAUGUAUCUCCCUUUCCCCUGAGAGAUAAGUAUAGCAAAGAGGUAAGAGGAUUGAUGAAGAAUGUAGGAAGGCACAAUGGAUUAAUAUAUGACACAACUCCAAACUGUGAGCAACCUGUAUGACCUUUAGCAACUUUCUACCCCAACACGAGCCUUCAUUUCCUCAUUUAUAACAAGAGUAGCUGAGACUAGAUGCUAGUUCUUUUAUAGCUGCCAUUUUUGAGUACCAAUGGUACAAGGGCAUAUUAUUAGGACUACAUCUCCAAAGAAGAUUUCGCCUCCCCACUGAAGUCCCUGGCCCAGCUUCCUGCAGUGCCACGCUCCGUGUAUUUGACAAGCUGAGUUGGACACUCCAUGUGGUAGAGUGUCAGUUUGUCAAAUACCCCAAGUGCGGCAUGUGCCUAGCAACUCCAAGCCAGCGAAGUUGGAGUACAACAAUUAGAUGAUCAGUGGGAUAAAGAACACACAACAAAUACCAAUUAAGCUCUCACAAGUUGGUUUAGGUACCUUUGUGAGACUUUAAGCAUUGUGUCUGAGGUUACCAGUGGAAAAGUCAGACAGCUCUGAGAGUCACAGGCCUGGGUGGUGUCUACAUACAUUGUGGGAACCUGAAGGGGGGAGGGUGGCAGGGUAGCCUUGAAAAGGUAUCCAGGGUCCAGGGAUGAAAGUGGUACUUGAUUCAUUAUUUUUUCCCUUCACAUCCCAGCAAGAAAACCAGAAGUCUCACACAACUAUCAUGGCAGGACUUAGAAGCCCAUUUAUCUGAUAGUCAGUCUUAGCUCUAAAUGCACUUUGACCUUACCUAUCUCUCUCCUUUUCCUCGGGCUUUUUCUCCCGAGAACAUGAUCCCCAUUUCUUUCUGCUUAUUCAAUUCCUUUCCAUAUUUCCUUGCCCAGGCAAAAUCAAGUUUCUGCAGGGACUUUUGAAAAAUAAACCUAUACUUUUUCCCUUCAUUCUCAAAUCACUUCUUGCCUGAGUCCUUCUAUGAACCCCUUUAUCUCCUACUUCCCAAUAACACUGCUUAAAUCAUUAAUGAUCUUUUUCAGAAUAAAUUUUUGAAUCCCCCCACUUGGUUUAUGACAAGACUGUAUUUCCUUGAUUGCUGUAUCUCCAUUCCAUUUCUACCCCACAGGACUCUGGUUACAGAAAAUACUCAAUAAAGUUUUACUGAUUGAU